GGGCGGGUGGCCGAGCGAGGUAAGGCACCCAGCUAUUAGGUUGGGCGACGUGGGUUCGGAUCCCCGCCCCACCCA
rnacentral:tRNA from 1 species